rnacentral:rRNA from 1 species
UACGUAGGGGGCAAGCGUUGUCCGGAUUUAUUGGGCGUAAAGAGCGUGUAGGCGGCCAGAUAGGUCAGCUGUGAAAACUCGAGGCUUAACCUCGAGCUGUCGGCGGAAACCAUCUGGCUAGAGUCCGGAAGAGGAGAAUGGAAUUCCCGGUGUAGCGGUGAAAUGCGCAGAUAUCGGGAAGAACACCCGUGGCGAAGGCGGUUCUCUGGGACGGUACUGACGCUGAGACGCGAAAGCGUGGGGAGCGAACAGG